GACGGAAGGUGCAAGCGUUGCUCGGAAUCACUGGGCGUAAAGGGUGCGUAGGCGGCCGCGCAAGUCUGGCGUGAAAGCCCCGGGCUCAGCCCGGGAAGGGCGCUCGAAACGGCGCGGCUCGAGUGCCGGAGGGGAGAGUGGAAUUCCUGGAGUAGCGGUGAAAUGCGUAGAUAUCAGGAGGAAUACCGGUGGCGAAAGCGACUCUCUGGACGGCAACUGACGCUGAGGCACGAAAGCGUGGGGAGCAAACAGG
rnacentral:rRNA from 1 species